CGAGUUCCUGUACGAUCACUGAAGUUAAGCAACGUCCAGCCUGGUCAGUACCUAGAUGGGUAACCGCUUAGGAAUACCAGGUGCUGCAAG